UUCUCUCCUCCUGAGGUGACACGUCAGCACUUUUUAAAGGGGCCAAAUUUAUUUUCGUAUAACACUUACGUCGUCCUGGCUAUAACAACUAAAGUCUACUUGGCCCAGUGGUAUAACCUGCUCAUAGUAAAGCUUGAGUGUACGGGUUCGAAUCCCCCUGGCUUCCUUUUUAAUUUUUUUUCUAUUACACCUUCAAGGCUCCUUAAGGUGUCCACGUGUGCACUUUGUGGGUCCCACCUUUAGUUUUCUUUUUAUUUUUUCUUCUUUUUGUCGGGUGAGCUGCGAUCUGUAACCAUAAUGGGCUUCGAAUUUUUUUUUAGGGAUUCAUUGUUACCGUGCUUUGUCUCUUCCACUUCUCCUUCUCCGUUAAUCUUUGACUCCAGGGACAGUGGAUGCUUCUCCAACUUUUAGCCUCCCCUAUCAUUCAACGGGUUUCUCUUAAUUUUUCGCAAAAAGCAAUUAUCUCAAUGCGAAAGGCAGAGAUAAAACGUUAAGGGCAGAGCCCGACCCCUUCUUCUUCUUCGUGAAAAAGCUUCUGAAGCCCAGAAAAAGGAAGUAGUUUUAUAUUAAAUCUACUAGAUUUUUCAUCAGGUAAUUGACCCUAAAGCGAGCUUCUUUCACGUCUUCCCUUUUCAUCAUCUCAUCGUUCCAACUCCAUAUCUAUCACCCUCCCCCACUCUCUAUUCAUCUCAAAGGUCAAUUUCUUCUACCUUUAUCUCUCUUUGGGCCGUUCAGAUUUUUCAAUCCUGUUCCGGUGAUUGAAGAAAUGUUCACUAUAUGCUUCUCAGACCGGAAACGCUCUUGAUGCUGCAGAGGGUAUUAGCCGUGAAGCUGAACGCCGAGGCUGUCCUGCGUCUAUCGUCUCCAACGACGAAUUCGACUCGGGCAAGGAGACUCUCCAGAUUCUUUUAAGGAAUUUUGGAGGUUUCUUCUUCAAAGAAACUUGGGAAACUCUUGGUUGCAACGAGUUCGCUUUGCAGUGUUUGGGCUAGGUGAUUCAGGUUAUCAGAAGUACAAUGUAAGUGCAUCUGCCACAUUGUGUCAUCUGUUUCACGUUCUUCUCAACAUACAUUUUAUUUCUGGUUCUGUUUUGAUGUAUUCAUCAAUAUGAAGGAAAAAAGUAGGCUUUACCGAGUAAUAAGUAUACUAGCUAACUAAAGAUUCCCACAACCAGAAAUCUUGAGAUGUGUCUGAAUUAUUGUUCCCUCCAAGAGAAGAUUUCUCAGAUGGUUCAGAUCGAACGCAGCGGCGCCACAACUGAUGUCAUGAAGAACUACUUCAUUGGGAGUGUGUUGAGCGGUGGAGGAAGUGUGCCAUCACCAAAGGCCACACCUGAAGCUUGGGUGAACAUGGUCAACGAGAUUCAGAAGGCUGCUCUUUCCACCCGCCUUGGGAUCCCCAUGAUCUAUGGGAUUGAUGCUGUCCACGGUCACAACAACAUGAAUGGCGCCACCAUUUUCCUUCACAAUGUGCGCCUUGGA